rnacentral:rRNA from 1 species
GACAGAGGAUCAAGCGUUAUCCGGAAUGAUUGGGCGUAAAGCGUCUGUAGGUGGCUUUUUAAGUCCGCCGUCAAAAUCCCAGGGCUCAACCCUGGACAGGCGGUGGAAACUACCAAGCUGGAGUACGGUAGGGCAGAAGGAAUUUCCGGUGGAGCGGUGAAAUGCGUAGAGAUCGGAAAGAACACCAACGGCGAAAGCACUCUGCUGGCCGACACUGACACUGAGAGACGAAAGCUAGGGUAGCAAAUGGG